AGUGAACGCUGGCGGUAGGCCUAACACAUGCAAGUCGAGCGGCAGCAUAGUAAGAGCUUGCUCUUACGGGUGGCGAGUGGCGGACGGGUGAGGAAUACAUCGGAAUCUACUUUUUCGUGGGGGAUAACGUAGGGAAACUUACGCUAAUACCGCAUACGACCUCCUUGUGAAAGCAGGGGAUCUUCGAACCUUGCGCGAGUGAAUGAGCCGAUGUCGGAUUAGCUAGUUGGCGGGGUAAAGGCCCACCAAGGCGACGAUCCGUAGCUGGUCUGAGAGGAAGAACAGCCACACUGGAUCUGAGGCAGAGGCCAGACUCCUACGGGGGGAAGCAGUGGGGAAUAUUGGACAAUGGAGGAGAGCCGGAUCCAGCCAUACCGCGUGGGUGAAGAAGGCCUUCGGGUGGUAAAGCGCUUUUGUUGGGAAAGAAGAGCAGCAGGUUAAUCCCCCGCUGUUCUGACGGUACCCAAAGAAUAAGCACCGGCUAACUUCGUG
rnacentral:rRNA from 1 species